rnacentral:misc_RNA from 1 species
AACUUUUGGCAAUGGAUCUCUUGGCUCUCGCAUCGAUGAAGAACGCAGCGAAAUGCGAUACGUCAUGUGAAUUGCAGAAUUCAGUGAAUCAUCGAAUCUUUGAACGCACCUUGCGCCCUUUGGCAUUCCGAGGGGCACACCCGUUUGAGUGUCGUGACAUUCUCAAAAACCUUCUUUGGUUUCUUGACCAGGAAGGCUUUUGGACUUUGGAGGCUCUAGCUGUCCUUCCUUUAUUGAAGCCAGCACCUGUGAAAUGAAUUAGUGGGCUCUGCUUUGCCUAUUCUUGACAUGAUAAGAUGUUUUCUACGUCUUGGUUUUUGCACUGUUCCUGCUUCUAACCGUCUCAUGGCAGCCAAUGGUCAAGUGAUUGCCACUUGUCCCACAAUCCUUGACCUCAAAUCGGGUGAGACUACCCGCUGAACUUAAGCAUAUCAAUAAGCGGAGGCU